rnacentral:misc_RNA from 1 species
AAGUCGUAACAAGGUAACCGUAGGUGAACCUGCGGUUGGAUCAUUAAUAAAAUCUUUUAAUUGUUAAGUGGUUAAACUAAAUUUAUUUUUUUUUUAACCCUUUUCAAACAUUUUGUGAACUGUUUUACUGUUUUUGGUAGGGCUUAUAGGAUGAAAAUUUAUUUUUUUAUCUGGAAUUUAUUUUUUAUGUUGUAGCAAUACUCAUAAAAAUUGUUUUACCUACCAAUUUUUAAACUUUUUAAAAAAAUAUUUAUAUACAAGUCUUUAGAAAAAUUGAAAAUUUUGUUUUUUUACAAAUUUUUUAUAUUAUAUUUAAAAUUAUAAAACAACUUUUGACAACGGAUCUCUAGGCUCUCA